rnacentral:tRNA from 1 species
GUGCCAGUAGCUCAGCGGAUAGAGUAGCGGCCUACGAAGCCGUUGGUCGCAGGUUCGAAUCCUGCCUGGCACGCCA